AACGGCCAUACCAGGCUGAAUAUAUCGGUUCUCGUUAGAUCACCGAAGUCAAGCAUCAUUGGGCGCGGUCAGUAGUUGGGUGGGUGACCACCUGUGAACACCCCGUACGU
rnacentral:rRNA from 1 species